rnacentral:lncRNA from 1 species
CUCCAGGAGAGAUGGGGAGGGACUUUUUACAAGGGCGUGUAGUAACAGCACAAGGGGUCCUGGCUUCAAAAUGGAAGAGGGUAGAUUUAGAUGAGACAUCACGAAGAAAUUUUUCACUAUGAGGGUGGUGAGAGCCUGGCCCAGGUUGCCCAGAGAAGCUGUGGCUGCCCCAUCCCUGGAGGUGUCCAAGGCCAGGCUGGAUGGGGCUUUGAGCAACCUGGUCUGGUGGGAGGUGUCCCUGCCCAUGGCAGGGAGGUUGGAAUUUGAUGAUCUUUAGGAUGCCUUUGAGCCCAAAACAUUCUAUGAGUCUAUCGUCUUGGUGGUUAAACAUGUCCCAUAGGGACACUUGGCUCAGCUGGCAGCCUUGAGGUGGAGGCUCCCUCUUCAGGACAGGUGCCCCCCACCUUGGGGAGCUCAGGCCACCCCGGCCUUCAGCCUCUGCACCAGUUACAGCACAGGCUUUGGCAGCCUGUGGCCGUCUCUGAGCCCUGGGCAGGUGUCCCUGUUGCCCUAAAGCAUCACAGAUGGCGUCUCGCUCCUGUGGUGAGACAACUGGCUGGAGCCCAUCUUGUCACCAUUUCAGAAAUCCAGACACAUUUGCAAACCUGAGGUCUUGUGUUGCCAGCUCUGUGGGAGGAAGCCCAGUGUCUCCAGCAUGGCUGUAUGGCCAAGCUUUGGCGCUGCUGGAACCUCUAGAACCCAAACCCAUGGCCACAUCCUCUCCUGACCCACAAACCGCAGACCCACCAGCUUCCAGCCAUCAGCCAGGUCGCAGAAAUCUCAAGUGAAAGAAAGUGUCUCAAACCCAAGAUGUUGCAGGGGAAACAUUUUGAGAUCAACUAGCAAAAUCUGUUUGCUCAUCCAAAGUAGCUAUUAGAUAAUAUAGUCACAAAAAUAAUUAAUUUACCAUGCAACAGUCCUGUAAAACCAAGAAUCCCAAAGCGUUUGGCAAACAGUGAAUUAAGCUUCACGAGCGUCCCCUGAGACAGAUAAAUACUAAAUAGAUCACAUUUUAUAUGGAGAAAUCAGACGAUAUGUGACAGCUGCAGAAAAAAAAAUACUCUUUUUAUGUCCCUCACUUUUAGUGAGUUAAAUAUUCUGAUGUGAAAGAAGGAAUGGUUUUGACUGCGUGAUUUUACACUAGUAAUCCUUCUUUCUCUCUUCUUUUUCAGACGCCAGUCGUAUGUUAUUGAAGCAGUUGAUUGUCGUAGCAACAUCGCUCAAAUAGGAACUGAAAAGGAACAAGCUAGUGGUUAUAGGACUGCAUUUUUGCUAGCUGUUGGGGGGAUUUUUGUCUUUUAUGAUUUGUAUAACUGUAAAGUUCCCCGUAGAGAAGCAAAUACAAUGGUAAAAGGAUAUGGAAAAUGUUACUAAAAUGAUGUUACUUGUAUUUGUUCAUUGUCCAUGAAAACCUAACAAUGCAGAGCUUAGCGAAGCUACAUAGUUCUUUAUUUUUGUCAUGUUUUUCCAAAAGAU